CCUGAGAAACGGCUACCACAUCCAAGGAAGGCAGCAGGCGCGCAAAUUACCCACUCCCGGCACGGGGAGGUAGUGACGAAAAAUAACAAUACGGGACUCUUUUGAGACCCCGUAAUUGGAAUGAGUACACUCUAAAUCCUUUAACGAUUAACCAUUGGAGGGCAAGCCAAGUGCCAGCAGCCGCGGUAACUCUUGCUCCAAUAGCGUAUAUUAAAGUUGUUGCGGUUAAAAAGCUCGUAGUUGGAUCUCAGUUCCAGACGGGCGGUCCGCCUACCGGUGGUCACUGCCCGUUCUGAACAGGCCAGCCGGUUUCUCUUGAUGAUCUUUACCGGUUGUCUUGGGUGACCGGCAAGUUUACUUUGAAAAAAUUAGAGUGCUCAAAGCAGGCGCGACGCCUGAAUAAUGGUGCAUGGAAUAAUGGAAUAGGACCUCGGUUCUAUUUUGUUGGUUUUCGGAACACGAGGUAAUGAUUAAGAGGGACAGACGGGGGCAUUCGUAUUGCGACGCURGAG
rnacentral:rRNA from 1 species